rnacentral:rRNA from 1 species
AGCAGUAGCCGCGGUAAUACGUAGGGUGCAAGCGUUGUCCGGAAUUAUUGGGCGUAAAGAGCUCGUAGGCGGUUUGUCGCGUCUGCUGUGAAAACGCGAGGCUCAACCUCGCGCCUGCAGUGGGUACGGGCAGACUAGAGUGUGGUAGGGGAGAUUGGAAUUCCUGGUGUAGCGGUGGAAUGCGCAGAUAUCAGGAGGAACACCGAUGGCGAAGGCAGAUCUCUGGGCCAUUACUGACGCUGAGGAGCGAAAGCGUGGGGAGCGAACAGGAUUAGAUACCCCCGUAGUCCCUGUCUCUUAUAC